rnacentral:rRNA from 1 species
CUGUUCGCCGAUUAAAGUGGUACGCGAGCUGGGUUCAGAACGUCGUGAGACAGUUCGGCUUCUAUCUGCUGUGGGCGUUGGAAAUUUGACGAGGCCUAACCCUAGUACGAGAGGACCGGGUUGGACACACCUCUGAUGCACCAGUUGUUCCGCCCGGGGCAUUGCUGGGUAGUUACGUGUGGCAGAGAUAACCGCUGAAAGCAUCUAAGUGGGAAGCUCUCUCGAAGAUUAGAUUUCCCAACUUUUUGAGUUUGAAGAUCCGUUCAAGACUAGGACGUUGAUAGGAUGGAUGUGGAAGUGCAGUAAUGCAUGGAGCUUACCAUUACUAAUGAAUCGAUCGGCUUAUCUUA